GUAACUGUCUUUUUUGUGUAUGUCUGUAUUUAAUGUUGUGUCCAGGUUUCCAAAGGACCAUUUAAUGGUGUCUGUGUAUUUCAUCCUCGAGUGCCCCUUCAGUUUUAACGAGCAUACUGUCCUUAGUGGUUUUGAAGUUCCAGAAACGCCUACCUUUCAAAAUCCAGAUAUUUUAAAUGAAUGUUUAUGAUGGUUUGCAUAAAUAUUUUUGUAACCUUAAACUCCUUUCAACAACGUGACUCUGCUCAGUCCUCUUCGGAAUGACAGGCCAGCUUUGAGGAAGUGCUGGUGUAGAAUGUUACCUGAGAACUCCAGCCCCAGGGGGUUUAGACUUUAUUGAGCCAUUAAUGAGAAGACAGAAGAUGAGUAAAGACUUGACACUACAUCUGAAACGAAAAAAAAAAAAGUCUUGCUAUUCUGUUCCAUAGCGCUGCGUUCUGCGGGUUUCAGGUCUUUACUUUUAAGAAGAAACGUCAGCCUCCCUUCUCCAACAUCCAGCACAGGGCACAGAUGAGCAGCAACACAGAAUCCUCCAGCAUCUCACAGAGGCAGAGAAGUGGUGUGUGGUGAACAUUUCUGUGUUCA